rnacentral:lncRNA from 1 species
CCACACAAUAAGGAAUAUAAUAUCAGGAUGAAUAUCAUAAACAAGGCCCUAGAUAAUUUGCUUUAACAUGGUCAUGCACUAGUAGCAAAACAUCAGCAGGUUUAGCAGUCUUUGUGAUCUUAUAGGUAAGCCACCAAGGUUGACAGUAUUAGUUUUGUUGUCUUGAUUGUUGAUUUUAUAGAGGAAACCCGACGACCCAUCAGGGUUUGAGAAACUUUUAUCAAUGCAGCAAUACCGCUGAGAUGUGGGAAAGACAUGAAGUACUAGAAAUAAUGUUAUAGGAUGGGAAUUUGUUUCUAUAGAAACCAGGUCAUCGCAGGCAAGAAUGGUUGACACCUAGCCAAUAAUGUCUGUUUAAAGAACUUCAGACUUUUUCGGCUUUGGUCCUCUAGAAGAAAAUGAGACCAUAAAAGGAGCAUUUGAAUCCCCAAUUAUUGUUCCUUUUGAAUGACAAUCGUUGUUGGUGUUGUCUGUUUUGUUUAUGUAAUUGUUUGAUCAUUAAACCGCUGCAUAAGUCACGUUCACGGCCCGGUAAAACAAUGAGGAAUAACAAAAAAUGUAAAAUUCCAGUUGUUUGAAUUUGGCAAAGUAUCAUGUCUGUCAUAACCCAAAAUUUGCCCAAUUAUUCAUUUGCAUUCAUACCAUUUGACAUUCAUUCAAAAUGAAUCAUUCCAUCUUCUUCUCAUUAUCUGAACUGAUUCCUUAUGGACAUUUCAUCUAGUCAUAACGACUUCAUUUCCCAUACAUAAUUCAGGAUUAAUAACCACUUUGUUUUGAUUUAUCUAUCCUGGUCAGUUCAGCAUUCGUUACAUGUCCAUAAUUAGAAAUUGGUGACGAAUUUCCCUAACGCUUAGGUCAGAUUGAUUAUUUUAAAGGGGUUUUUUUUUCCGUGACUUUCAAAGUUUUAGUUGAAUGAAUUAUAUUGAGUGCUUCUAACAUGAAUGAUUAGCGAAUUUUUGUUUUGUGAUUAUUAGUAAGGUUUUAGCUUUGAUUAAAUUGGGCUAUGUCCUUGUGUUCCAUUUCAAAAUAAGCUAAAGUUCUAAUUGAUUUGUCUUGGAUUUUAAAUUUUUGUUUAUUAAGUUCUAGCAGGAAAGCUUUUUUAUGUUUGAUGCGGGAAUAAUAAUAUAAUAAAUAAAUAAUCUUAUUUUUAAUUCGAAUUGGUCAAGAAUUAAGAAAUAAAAUCAAUCAUGAUAAUAUUGUUUUUUUCUACCAAAUAUAGUUAAGUAAGUCGCACUACAUGGUCACAUUUUAAAAAGAAAUAAACACUAUGUUUUAUCUAAAGUUUCGGUUAAUUAUAUUUUUGUAUAUAUUUUAACAAACAAAAAACAUUAAAAAGUAAGAAUUUUCAUGUGUGGGGAUUGGUCCCUCAGAGGUUGCUUUUUCGUUUGUUUCUGUUGGCCUUCAUGUGUGAGACAUCUCUCUUUUCCACUUCCGAUUCUGAUAUUUCUGUCAACAAUACACAUUACUGGGGCACGCUAGUUAGCGCAGUUUUGAGGAAGAUAACACAAAGCCAAAAAGUCCUAAAUAAGAAAGCAGAUGCAAGGUUUCCCUAAAACAUCAUUAUAAAGAAUUUACAUAAGUAUGAGAAACAACUCUGACAUCUCAAAAAAGUAGGGCUAACUCAUUACCCUUUUAUGCAUAAACACGACCCUAAUGGCAUAAAUUGGGAGUGAAAUAUAAAAAGGGAGUUCUAACAGCAGAAAGGGGGAAUUCAAAUUAAAAAAAAAAACAAGCCAUAGAAUUUCAAACAAACACUCACAUCAAGAAAAAUACAUUAGUAAGAGAACUCUUUGAUCGAGCCGUCAUAUUAUUUCUUCUUCAGCUUGCAAAAAUCCCGGUCAAAUAAUUCGACGUAAUAACUGGUUGCCAUUAUCGCAUGUGACAAAAAUAGUUGUAAUAUAAAAAUCAUCAUACAACAUACAGAAGGCAGAGUUAGAUAGGUUAAAGAGCACAACUGAAGCUGUUUCACAAGACCAACUUCUCAUUUGUUAGUAUCUUCAUGAGCUUUUGUUUUCUUCAUUUUUUUGUGUUCGCUUUUUUGCUUCAUUGAUGCUUGGAUUGUCUGAGAUGAUUCCCAAUAACUGUUUAGGAUUUUAGUCUGUUUGUGUCAUUCUCCUAUUUCUAUUUGAUCCUGCGCGUGUGUCCUGUUCUGGUUUGUGGAGGUGGAGGCGUUGAAUCGUGUUUUAAACAGGGAUCCGGUUUGUUUAGGGAAGUUGCUGGAUUUGAAUUCUCUUAUGGUAAUUGGUUUGUUCUUGGGGUAUUAGGAAGAAAUAAAUGCGUUUAAAACAUGAUGAUUUGUUUCCAUUUUACUUUAAUAAUGUUUUUAAUUAAAAGAUAUUUGAUAUUUGACCUUUCCCCUUUAUACCACGUUUCGUUAUUCUCUUUCUCUAUACCCAUUUAUUAAUUUGGAACAGAUAUUGAUGUGAGUUGUUCAGGGUGUGACCUAGAAAGGAUACGGGGCGGCGGUUCCAAAAAGAAAUUAGGGUUUAUUUUUCUUUUUAUUUUUGGUCUUUUAGAAUUCUUAAAUUUUGGGUUGGCUGGGUCGAAAUCAAGCAGUUUUGGAUUUCCAUCACGACCCUUAUUCCUCAAUAAACACCCAAUGCUCAUUAUUAUAUGAUUUUUUUAGACAUUAAUAAAAUUUUUUUUAUAUUACUAAUAAAGGUUAAUAAAAUGAUAAAUAAUAUGAUUAAAACGAUUUUUUUUUUCUUUUUUCCUUUUGGUACCCUUAUUUUAUAUUAAUAAUUUUCUUAUAUUUUUAUUGUUAUUUGUCUUUAUUAAUUAAAUGAUCUGAUCACAUAUUAUUAAAUCUCCUUCAUAUGAAAUAUUUUUCUCGUAGUUUUUCAUCAUUAGUUUGCAAUUAUUUUAAAAUUAUAGGUUUUCGAUUUAUUUAUUCACUGUUGCACAAUUAAAUAAUUAAUUAUAUUAAAAUAAGUAAAAUAAGAAAAUCUUGGUCCAACACCAAUUUUUUUUUAAGUAUCCGAUUAAAUUGUCUAUGCCCCAAUUUAAAUUGUCUUAUCAUUUUAAGUGCUAUGUGUAAACCUUUUUCUGUAAAAUAACAACGAAAGACCGAGGAACCAUUGGAAUCUAAUUCCGGUGGAACCCUAAAUGAGAACGCAUUUUGGGUUAACCCGUUAAUUCUCUUUUCUUUAUUUCUUAAAAGCAUUUAAAUCACUACUUAUUUCUAUUUUUUUUAUUUUUAGUUUUACUCUUAGUAUUUUUUUUUAAAAAAGAAUAAAAAAAGGGUAUACAAAUAUAGAAAAUAAAUAAAAACGAAUCAACUUUUUCAUUAAAAACUAUAUUUUUGAGUUUCUCUUUUUUCUUAAACCAACACAAUAAGAUAACUAUAGUAAAAAACUUGAACUUUUUUCUUUAUAUCCCUUUUCGUUAUUUAUUUUAAAUAAAAAUAAAUAAAUACAAAGAAGUUUUCCAUUUAUUUUCUGGUGUUUAGAUUGUUAUAAAAAAUUAAAGUAAAUUUAGUUAAUUUUCUUGUAUUCUAGAUUAAUUGGUAUAAGAAAAUUUAAUAAAAAUGUUAACUUAUUUUAUUUUCUUAUAUUCAGAUUAUGUUAUAGAUUUUUUUUUUUAAAAAAGUUAAUUAUUUAUUUUCUGGUAUUUUAGAUUUGUCAUAAAAAUAAUUAAAAAAAUCUAUUUUAGUUAUUUUCAUUAUUAUUAUUAGAUAUGUCAUUAAAUAAAACUAAAACAUGUAAAAUUUCUUUUAUUAUUAGACUAUGUCAUGAAAUAAAUAAAUAAGUUAACAUUUAUUUUGCUUUUAAUUUAGAUGUCAUAAAAAAUAAGUUAUGCAUUUUUUUUUUUAAUUCUUUAGAUUGUAAUCAUAACAAUCAUUAAAAAGGUGCUUACCCUUUAUUUUCUUUAAAAUCAUUGUCAAAACUUUCCCAAAAUAAUUUACCAUUUUCUUUUCUUUUAAUGUUAGAUCAUGUUCUAAAUUUCCAAAAGAUAAGUUUAAUAUUUAUUUUCUUUUAAUUUUAGAUAUGUCAAUACAAAAUUUCAAAUAAAUAAAGCUUACCAAUUUAUUUAUUUUAAUUUUAGAUAAUGUUAUAGAUAAAUAUUUAAAAAAUACUAAUUUAGCUAUUUUCAUUAUUAUUUUUAUUAUUGUGUUAUAAAAUAUUUUAAAAAAAUUAUUAGUUAUUUCAUUAUAUUCAAAUUAAUGUCAUAAAGAAUUAAAAAAGAUAAUUUAGUUACUUUCUAUUUAUUAUUUUUUAGAUUAUAAUUAGAGAAAAACAAAUAAAGAUUCUGUUUAAAAUUUAAUUUUUAGAUUAAGUAAGAGAAUAAAAAAUAUUUAAUUAUCAGACCUUUUUAAUAAUAUGCCAUAACGUCUACUAUUAAGUUUGGUCUUUAUUUUCCUCAAUUUAUUUUCCUAGACAUAAAAAAAUAUAAUUGUAAUUUUCUCUCAACUUAUUUUCUUGCUAUUAUUCUCAAAUGUUUGAAUAACUAUAGAAAUUAUUAUUUUCAAAUAAUAUCGUUUUCUUUGUAGUUUUAUCUUAUUGGUAGAAAUAAUCGAUACAAUAUUUACAUAAAUAUCUAGUUAAUGAUGUCCGCGUAAUUAAUGAAUAACUAUUAUGAUAAUUUCUUAACAUUUGGUCAUACCCAAGUUGUACCUUAUUAAUUGAUUUUAAUUUUGUUUUUUCUUAUCCCGAUUCCAAAAGCUUUAUUAUUUAAAUUAAAUUUAAAAUGUUUUUUAAUAACUCAAAAGAAGAGGACCUUGGAAUCUAGCAUCUGAUGGGCGAACCUCCAAAUGAUCGUCCCGAGCCACGCGUCAGCGCGUUUUGGGUUAAUCAUUCUUUCUUUUCUUUCGUUCUUAAAACACCUUAACUACUUGGACAAAAUAAGGGUCAUUAGAUCCGCCACGUCUGGUGCAACUCUUUGAACAGGAUUAUUCUUAUAAACAGGAGUUUGUUCGUCCAUCAAAUAAUUUUUCUCAAUUAACCUUGAAAUGAAAAAUGACAAUUGGAAUCUAGCAUUCCGGUGGAACCCGAUGAUUGAAUCCGAGGCUCGCAAUAGCUCAUUCUCCAAUCAACUGUUUCGUGUGCAUUCAUCUAUAAAAUACAUCCACACAUCAAAUUUUUUUUGUCGUGCGAUUGAUCUUAAAAACCUUUCAUAAAAGAAAGACAGAUCUUGUCUUAAGGUGAUGUAAAGUCAUGAUUCGACCACAAUUGUUGAGUAGAUAAGUGAUGUUUUCCAAAUGUUGAUUCAUAAAUGCCACUGAUGUGUGGUAUAUAUGUCUGCUCCUCAUCUGUUUUGGGGUAAAACAUGUUUUCGUCGAUUUAACAACAAUAUAGCUUUAGCUAAAAAUCGACGCAAAACAAAUAUAUUUUCUACCUAGAACUACGUCAGCCUUGAGUCUCUAUUCGGAUACGUAUGAGCAGGAUUGCGAAAUCUUGCCAGGCCCAUUAAUCAAAAACUUAGGUUAGUCCCUCGUUGCAAAAUCCAAAAACAAUUCUUCCUGCUCUCUAUUCUUUUUUCCACCUAAUAACUCGAGAAACCUAACAUUCUAGCUAAACUAAGCGUCAUAUAAACUACUGGUUGCUCUGUUGAGUAAAAGGACGUGAGGGUGCUACUACCUUCCCGCCUGUCCAUAAUCGACUCCGAAACCCUGAUUUUGUUUGCGAACGAACCAUCAUCAUUGUCGUUCUUUCUUGGGUUUUUUGAUAUUUCCCUUUCCUUUUUGGAAAUAAAUAAAUUCGGUGGCGACUUUCAUUUCCAUUAUGCAAGACUGCGAUUGGCGCUUCGCUAAGUCGCGUCUCAUUUUUUCGAGGUGCGACAAUGUCAGCAUCACCUGAGUUUCAGAACUUCGUUCCUGGAACAAUACUUGGAGCUUCUCGCUUGCAAUAUCACAAAUACACUAAUUUUCUCGUACGUUAAUGUUCUUUAAGUAACCUGGUAAACAAAGGGAUUGAUUUCCUAUUUUGUGCAGCCUGCAUACACAAGGGCAACAAUUGUUGAGAGAAAAUCCUUAGGUUGUAUCAUGUUACACACCUUCAAAUUCUUCACGCAGUUCAUAAGCUUUGUCGAGAGACUCUUAGGUUAUAUCAAUGUUUCACCUUCAAUUUUUUCACCAUUUCCUAGCUUUGCCGAUGCGAUUAUUUUUCUGUUGUGCGUGCUUGCACCUACUGUGAGAAACCAAGGAGCUUUGUUUACUAGAGUGGCGUAGUUAGGGCCAUAAUUUCCUACAGAGCAACUAACGAAAAUUCCCUUUUGAAUAGCUGCAAAAGCCCCAACUGCAAUCGGAUCUUGAAAGAAUGGAAGAGAACCAAAACCAAGUGAAAGAGAAAGUACAUCUACACCAUCUUCAACAACUUUGUUCAUUGCAGCUAAAACAACACUUUUAGGGCAUCCAAUUUUGGCAUCACACAUUUUGUAAAUUGCUAUGUGAGCAUUAGGUGCCAUACCAGCCGUUACACCCUUAGCAUUUUCAAAAAGACCUGCAUUUUCUAUGAAUCUUCCUCCAGCUAUUGCAACAGUGUGUGUUCCAUGGAUAUCACUCUCAAAUGGAAGCUUUUGAGUCACACUUGAGACUAAAUUACUUGCACCAAUGAGCUUGUUGUUGCAGGUUGUUCCUCCAUUGAAUUAACAGUGGCAUUUCCAUUUUAUAGGUGGUGGAGGCAUUCCUUCGCCACUGAAUGAUGGAUGGAAAAGGUUUAUCCUGGUGUCUAUGACUCCAAUUAUGAUAUCUUUUCCGAGAUUAUCAACACUCCACAAACCUUGCCCUUUUUUCAACCCCAAUAAAGUUAGAGUGUGAAUUCUAUGCAAAGAGAGUUUUCUCUCAAGUCUUACUGACACAACUAUAUGCUUCUCUCGAAGAUCUUCAACGCAAGUCCAGAUGCAACAUUGUGGUAAGAAAACACCACCCUUUCUUUGCAAUCGAAAGCUUUUGGAAGAAAAGAGUGAUACUAGUUAUCUUGUGAUUGUAUUGAAGUUACAUUUUCCAACCUUUUGACAUUAACAUUGUAUGUUAUUAAGUUGUGAUCAUCGGUUUGAUUCUUCCUUGCAUAAAAUACCGUCGUGGUUUGAUGGAUACUGCAGAUAUAGAACAAGAAGAGAAGAAGAAACUGUAUAUAUUUCAUGAUGAAACUUGUGCUGAUUUGCGUGGAAUGGUGUAUGCAUAUAAAAUUCAAUUUUAAUCAAAUAAAUUUUCACCUAUAACUCAAAGUUUCACCUCAGUGUGGUAUAUUUUUAGGACGAGUUUGAAUAUCCUAAAACGACAUGUAUAGGAGAUUCAAACUCGUUCUAAAAAUACACCACACCGAGGUGAAACUUUAAGUUAUACGUGAAAAUUAUUUGAUUAAAACGGAACUUCCUAUAUGCAUACACCAUUCCAUGCAAAUCAACACAAGUUUCAUCAUGAAGUUUAUACAGUUUCUUCUUCUCUUCUUGUUCUUUAUCUGCAGUAUCCAUUAAAUCACAGUGAUAUUUUCUACUCGGAAGAAUCAAACAGAUGAUAACAACUUAAUGACAUAUAUUGUUAAUGUCAAAAGGUUGGAAAAUGUAACUUCAAUAAAAUCACAAGAUAACUGGUAUCACUCUUUUCUUCCAAAAGCUUUGGAUUACAAAGAAAGGGUGGUGUUCUCUUACCACAAUGUUGUCUCUGGAUUUGGCCUGAAGAUCUUCGAGAGAAGCAUGGAGUUGUGUCAGUAAGACUUAAGAGAAAACUCUCUUUGCAUACAACUCACACUCUAACUUUCUUGGGGUUGGAACAAGGGCAAGGUUUGUGGAGUGAUGGUAAUCUCGGAAAAGACAUCAUAAUUGGAGUCAUAGACACCAGAAUAGACCCUUUCCAUCCAUCAUUCAGUGGCGAAGGAAUGCCUCCACCACCUGCAAAAUGGAAAUUCCACUGUCAAUUCAAUGGAGGAACAACCUGCAACAACAAGCUCAUUGGUGCAAGGAAUUUAGUUCCAAGUGCGACUCAAGAUCUUCCAUUUUAGAGUGAUAUCCACGAAACACACACUGUUGCAAUAGCUGGGGAAGAUUCAUAGAAAAUGAAAGUCUUUUUGAAAAUGUUAAUAGUGUAGCAGCUGGUAUGACACCUAAUGCUCACAUAGCAAUUUACAAAGUGUGUGAUGCCGAAAUUGGAUGCCCUGAGAGUCCUAUUUUAACUGCAAUGGACAAAGCUAUUGAGGAUGGUCUAGAUGUACUUUCACUUGGUUUUGGUUCUCUUCCAUUCUUUCAAGACCCGAUUGCAGUUGGGGCUUUUGUAGUUAUUCAAAAGGGAAUUUUCGUUAGUUGCUUUACAGAAAAUUCUCGCCCUAACUACGCCACUCUCGUAAACGAAGCUCAUUACUCUUCCAUUCUUUCAAGACCCGAUUGCAGUUGGGGCUUUUGUAGUUAUUCAAAAGGGAAUUUUCGUUAGUUGCUUUACAGAAAAUUCUCGCCCUAACUACGCCACUCUCGUAAACGAAGCUCAUUGCUUUCUCACAAUAGGUGCACGCACGACAUAAAAAUAGUCUCAUCGACAAAGCUAUGAAAUGGUGAAGAAUUUGAAGGUGUAACAUUGAUACAACCUAAGGAUUUUUCUCAACAAUUGUUGCCCCUUGUGUAUGCAGGUGCACAAAAUAGGAAUCAAUCCCUUUGUUUACCAGGUUACUUAAAGAACAUUAACGUACGAGGAAAAUUAGUGUUUUGUGAUAUGCAAGGAGAAGCUCCAAGUAUUGUUCCAGGAAAGAAGUUCUAAACUCAGGUGAUGCUGACAUUGUCGCACCUCGAAAAAUGAGAACGCGACUUAGCGAAGCGCAAUCGCAGUCUUGCAUGAUGAAAUGAACAAAGUCGCCACCGAACUUUAUUUAUUCCAAAAAAGGAAAGGGGAAAUAUCGAUAAAACCCAAGAAAGAACGACAAUGAUUAUGGUCGUCGCAACAAAAUCAGGGUUCGGGAGUCGAUUAUGGAAGGGGAAGGUAUUAGCACCCCUCACGUCCGUUUUACUCAACGAGAACCAUUAGGUUUAUUAUGCGCGUUAGUGUUAGCUUAGAAAUGUUAGGUUUCUCGAGUUAUUAGGUGGGAAAGAAAGAAUAGAAGAGAGAAGAAUGUUUUUGGAUUUUUGCAACGAAGGGGACUAAACCUAAGUUUUUUAUUAAUGGGCCUGGCAAGAUUUCGCAAUCCUGCUCAUACGUAUCUCAAUAGAGAACUCAAGGCUUACGUAGUUCUAGGUAGAAAAAUAUUUGUUUGUUGGUCGAUUUUAGCUAAAGCUAUAUUGUGUUAAUCGACGAAAACAUUGUUUUACCCAAAACAGAUGAGGAGCAGACAUAUACCACACAUCAGAUGGAUUUAUGAAUCAACAUUUGGAAAAACAUCACUUAUCUCAACUCAACAAUUGUGGUCGAAUCAUUACUUUACAUCACCUUAAGACAAGAUGUCUUUCUUUUAUGAAAAGGUUUUAAGAUCAAUCGCACGACAAAAAAAAAGUUUGAUGUGUUGGAUGUAUUUUAUAGAUGAAUGACGAACAGUUGAUGAGAAUGAGACAUGAGCCUCGGGAUCAAUCACUCGGGGUUCCACCGGAAUGCUAGAUUCCAAUGGUCAUUUUUCAUUCAAGGUUAAUUGAGAAAAUUAUUUGAUGGACAACAAAUGUUUGAUAAGAAUAAAUUGUUCAAAGAGUUGCACCAGAGUGCUUGAUCCUAAUGACCCUUAUUUUGUCCAAGUUAGUUAAGGUGUUUUAAGAAACGAAAGAAAAGAAAGAAUGAUUAACCCAAAACGCGUGACGCGUGGCUCGGGAUCGAUCAUUUGAGGGUUCCCAUCAGAAUGCUAGAUUCCAAUGGUCCUCUUCUUUUGAGUUAUUAAAAAAACAUUUUAAUAUUUUAACUUAAAUAAUAAAGCUUUUGAAUCGGGAUAAGAAACAAAUUAAUCAGAUAAUAAGGUACAACUUGGGGUAUGACCAAUGUUUAAGAAAUUAGUCAUAAAUAUUUUAUUCUAUUAAUUACUCGACAUCAUUACUAGAUAUUUAUUUAAAUAUUUAUUCGUAAUAUUCUACCAAUAAUGAAUAAAACUACAAAGAAAACGAUAUUAUUUGAAAAUAAUAAUUCUAUAGUUAUUCAAACAUUUAGAGAAAAUAGCAAGAAAUUAAGUUGGAGAAAAAUACAAUUAUAUUUUUUUAUGUCUAGUAAAAUAAAUUGAGAAAAUAAGACCAACUUAAUAGUAGACGUAUGCAUAUUAUUAAAAAGGUCUGAUAAUUAAAUAUUUUUUUUAUUCUCUUUAUUAAUCUAAAAAUAAAUUAAACAUAACUCUUUAUUUUUUUCUCUAAUAUAAUCUAAAAAUAAUAAUAGAAAUAACUAAAUUAUCUUUUUUAAUAUCUUUAUGACAUAAUUUGAAAUAAUAAUGAAAAUAACUAAAUUAAUUUUUUAAAAUAUUUUUAUAACACAAUAUAAAAAUAAUAAUGAAAAUAGCUAAAUUAUUAUUUUUUUAAAUAUUUUCUAUAACAUUAUCUAAAAUUAAAAUAAAAUAAAUGGUAAGCUUAUUUAUUUGAAAUUUUGUAUGACAUGAUCUAAAAUUAAAAGAAAAUAAAUAUUAAACUUAUCUUUUGGAAUUUUAUAACAUGAUCUAACAUUAAAAGAAAAUAAAUGGUAAAUUUAUUUUUGGAAAGUUUUGACAUGAUUUAAAAGAAAAUAAAUGGUAAGCACCUUUUUAAUGAUUUUUUAUGAUACAAUCUAAAAUUAAAAAAAAAUGAUAAACUUAUUUUUUAUGACAUCUAAAAUUAAAAGAAAAUAAAUGUUAAACUUAAUUUAUUUAUUUAUGACAUAGUCUAAUAAUAAAAGAAAUUACAUGUUUUAGUUUUUAUUUUAAUGACAUAAUCUAAUAAUAAUAAUGAAAAUAACUAAAAUAGAUUUUUUUAAUUAUUUUUUAUGACAUAAUCUAAAAUACCAGAAAAUAAAUAAAUUAACUUUUUUAAAAAAAAAAUUUAUAACAUAAUCUUGAAUAUAAGAAAAUAAAUAAGUUAACAUUUUUUAAAUUUCUUAUACCAUAAUCUAGAAUACAAGAAAAUAACUAAAUUUACUUUAAAUUUUUUUUAUAACAUAAUCUAAAACACCAGAAAAUAAAUGGAAAACUCUUAUGUAUUUAUUUAUUUUUAUUUUAAAAUAAAUAACGAAAGGGAUAUAAAGAAAAAAAGUUCAAGUUUUUACUAAUAUUUAUCUUAUUUGGUGUUUUAAGAAAAAGAAACUCAAAAUUAUAGUUUUAAUGAAAAGUUGAUUCUAUUUUUAUUUAUUUUCUAUAUUUGUUAUCCCUUUUUUUAUUCUUUUUAAAAAAAAUACUAAGAUUAAACUAAAAAUAAAAUAAAUAGAAAUAAUAAGUUGAUUUAAAUGUUUUAAGAAAUAAAAGAAAAGAAUUAACGGUUAACCCAAAAUGCGUUGCUCAUUUGAGGGUUCCACCGGAAUGCUAGAUUCCAAUGGUCCUCUUCUUUCGUGUUAUUUUACCAGAAAAAGGUUUUACACAUAGCACUUAAAUGAUAAGACAAUUUAAAUUGGGGCAUAGAACAAUUUAAUCGGAUACUUAAAAAAAAAUUGGUGUUGGACCAAGAUUUCUUAUUUUACUUAUUUUAAUAUAAUUAAUUAUUUAAUUUUGCAACAAGUGAAUAAAUAAAUAGCGAAACCUAUAAUUUAAAAUAAUUGAAACUAAUGAUGAAAAACUACGUAGAAAAUAUUCAUAUUAAUAGAUUUAAUAAUAGUGAUCAAUCAUUUAAUUAAUAAAGACCAAAAUAACAAUAAAAAUAAUUAAGAAAUUAUUAAUAUAAAAUAAAAGGGUACAAAAGGAAAAAAGAAAAAAAAUCGUUUUUAAUUCAUAUUAUUAUCAUUUUAUAACCUUUAUUAGAUAAUAUAAAAAAAAUUAUUAAUGUCUAAAAAAAUAAUAUAAAAAUGAGCUUGGGUGUUUAUUGAGAAUAAGGGUCGUGAUGGAAAUCAAACUGGCUGAUUUCGACCCAGCCCAACCCAAAAUUUAAGAAUUCUAAAAGACCAAAAAUAAAAGAAUAAAUAAACCCUAAUUUUCUUUUUGGAACCGCCGCCCCUAUCCUUUCUAGGUCACACCCUGAACAACUCACAUCAAUAUCUGUCCAAAUUAAUAAAUGGGUAUAGGAAAAGAGAAAAGAAACGUUGGGUAAAGUGGAAAGGUCAAAUAUACAAUAUCUUUUAAUUAAAACAUAUUAAAGUAAAAUGGAAACAAAUCAUCAUUUUUUAAACUCAUUUAUUUCUCCUAAUACCCAAGAACAAACCAAUUACAUAAGAGAAUCAAAUCAGCAACUCCCUAAACAAACCGGCAUCCCUGUUUAAAACACGAUUCAAACGCUCCACCUCCACAACAAACAUCACACGCGAGGAUCAAAUAGAAAUAGGAGAAUGAACACAAACAGACCUAAAAUCCUAACAGUUAUUGAAAUCAUCUCAGACAAUCCAAGCAUCAAUGAAGCAAAAAUGCAGAACACAAAAAAAAAUGAAAGAAAACAAAAGCUCAUGAAGGGAUACUAACAAAUGAGAAGUUGGUCUUGAAACAGCUUCAGUUGUGCUCUUAACUCUAUUCUAACUCUGCCUUCUUGUAUGUUGUAUGAUGAUUUUUAUAUUACAACUAUUUUUUCAUGUCGAUAAUGGGAACCAGUUUAUUACUCGAAUUAGUUAUGACCCGGGAUUUUUGCAGUGAAGAAGAAAAUAUAUGACGGCUCGAUUCAAAGAGUUUCUCUACUAAUGUAUUUUUCUGAUGUGAGUGUUUGUUUGAAAAUUUUAUGGCUGUUUUUUUUUUUAAUUUGAAUUCCCCCUCUCUUGCUGUUAGAACUUCCCCUUUUUAUAUUCAUCCAAGUUAUGCCAUUAGGGUCUGUUUUAUGAUAAAAGGGUAAUGGAGUUAGCCUAACUUUUUUGAGAUUCAGAGUUGUUUCAUCAUACUUAUGUAAAUUCUGUUAUAAUGAUGUUUUAGGAAACCUGCAUCAUGCUUUCUUAUUUAGACUUUUUGGCUUUGUGUUAUCUUCCUCAAAACUGCGCUAACUAGCUGCAGUAAUGUGUAUGUGACAGAAAUAUCAGAAAUCGGAAGUGGAAAAGGAGAGAUGUCUCACACAUGAAGCCAAACAGAAACAAACAAAAAGCAAGCCUUAGGGACCAUCCACACAUGAAAAUUCUUACUUUUGUAAUUGUUUUUUUGUUGUAAAAUAUAUACAAAAAUAUAAUUAACCUAAACUUUAGUAUAAAACAUAGUGUUUAUUUCUUUUAAAAUGUGACCAUGUAUUUCGACUUACUUAACUCAUAUUGGUAGAAAAAAAACAAUAUUAUCAUGAUUAUUAUAUUUUUAA